CCUACGGGAGGCUGCAGUGGGGCAUAUUGCGCAAUGGGCGAAAGCCUGACGCAGCGACGCCGCGUGAGGGAUGAAGGUCUUCGGAUCGUACACCUCUGUCAGCAGGGAAGAACGGUCACUGUGCUAAUCAGCAGUGAAUUGACGGUACCUGCAAAGGACGCACCGGCUAACUCCGUGCCAGCAGCCGCGGUAAUACGGAGGGUGCGAGCGUUAAUCGGAAUUACUGGGCGGAAAGCUCUCGUAGUCGGUAUGUCAAGUCAAGGGUGAAAUCCCCGCGCUCAACGUGGGAACUGCCUUUGAAACUGGCAAACUGGAGUGUGUGAGAGGAUAGUGGAAUUCCAGGUGUAGGAGUGAAAUCCGUAGAUAUCAGGAGGAACAUCAGUGGCGAAGGCGACUAUCUGGCACAUAACUGACGCUGAGGAGCGAAAGCGUGGGUAGCAAACAGGAUUAGAUACCCGGGUAGUC
rnacentral:rRNA from 1 species